rnacentral:rRNA from 1 species
CCCCUAGUAACUGCGAGUGAAGCGGGAAAAGCUCAAAUUUAAAAUCUGGCAGUCUCUGGCUGUCCGAGUUGUAAUCUAGAGAAGUGUUAUCCGCGCUGGACCAUGUACAAGUCUCCUGGAACGGAGCGUCAUAGAGGGUGAGAAUCCCGUCUUUGACAUGGACUCCCAGGGCUUUGUGAUGCACUCUCAAAGAGUCGAGUUGUUUGGGAAUGCAGCUCAAAAUGGGUGGUAAAUUCCAUCUAAAGCUAAAUAUUGGCGAGAGACCGAUAGCGAACAAGUACCGUGAGGGAAAGAUGAAAAGAACUUUGGAAAGAGAGUUAAACAGUACGUGAAAUUGUUGAAAGGGAAACGCUUGAAGUCAGUCGCAUUGGCCAGGGAUCAACCUUACAUUUGUUGGGUGUACUUUCUGGUUAAUGGGUCAGCAUCAAUUUUGACUGUUGGAAAAAGGUCAGGGGAAUGUAGCAUCCUCGGAUGUGUUAUAGCCCUUGGUUGUAUACAGCAGUUGGGAUUGAGGAACUCAGCACGCCGCAAGGCCGGGUUUUUAACCACGUACGUGCUUAGGAUGCUGGCAUAAUGGCUUUAAUCGACCCGUCUUGAAACACGGACCAAGGAGUCUAACAUGCCUGCGAGUGUUUGGGUGGAAAACCCAUGCGCGUAAUGAAAGUGAAAGUUGAGAUCUCUGUCGUGGAGAGCAUCGACGCCCGGACCAGACCUUUUGUGACGGUCCCGCGGUAGAGCAUGUAUGUUGGGACCCGAAAGAUGGUGAACUAUGCCUGAAUAGGGUGAAGCCAGAGGAAACUCUGGUGGAGGCUCGUAGCGAUUCUGACGUGCAAAUCGAUCGUCGAAUUUGGG